UCCUACGGGAGGCAGCAGUGGGGAAUAUUGGACAAUGGGCGCAAGCCUGAUCCAGCCAUGCCGCGUGUGUGAAGAAGGCCUUAUGGUUGUAAAGCACUUUAAGCGAGGAGGAGGCUACUGAGACUAAUACUCUUGGAUAGUGGACGUUACUCGCAGAAUAAGCACCGGCUAACUCUGUGCCAGCAGCCGCGGUAAUA
rnacentral:rRNA from 1 species